CUGCAAAUAUUUUCGCUGUUGUGAUUUUGCAAUAAUUCUUGCAGGCUAAACAUUUGCUAUAUUAAGACCGUGCAUGUGUCCCCAGACCUAGUUAUUUCCCUAAGUCUGGUUUUAUCAAUGCUGGUGAUAAAC
ensembl:snoRNA SNORA72 Small nucleolar RNA SNORA72